AUGGUACUAUUCACCCUUCUUCUUGUGAUUGAGAUAGGAAUGGCAUGGUGUGGUUGCAGGAGGAUGGAAAAUCCUAAAUAACAGGUAAAACAGGAACAAGGUAAAGAAAUCGCAGGAUAACAGAAAAUCCAAAAUGAGGAAGAGAAAACGGUGAAAGUUCCCGUCAGGGUGACAUGUCGAUGACUCUUCAGGCAAACUCAAGUCAGAAACAAAGGAGGCGGUAACCAUAGUUCCCCCAAUCCCCUCUUUUCCAGAACACUUAAUCAUUAUUCCACCCUCUAAAGAAACACUCAGAAAAUUAGAAACCCAAAGUCUGUUGGGCACGACUUUCUCGCCAGCAUGCCUGCACUCCUCUUAAGUGUGAACUUCCCCUUUGUGAUAAAAGCUUCUUUCACUUCAUUCUGAUUCAUCCCUGAAUUCUUUCUCAUGAUGGUUCCAGAACCUGAACACUGGCUGGGGCCGGGGUGUCCCUGGCAUCUGGAGACCCUUGUGAGCCCUCUGGCAACCUGUUGAUGUGAGAUGGUGCAAUGCUUACAUGAUGAGAAGAAGCCAGGUGAAUGAUGCAGACAUUGGGCUACCAGUGACCUACCUUCCCUAUUCCUGAAUCCAUGUAACCAUCUUCACUUGCAGUCAAAGGCAUCCCUCCUUUCAGGGAAUUUCCUGCUGAAAUCUUCGUUCAGGUUCAAUGCUUUUCAGUGCAAAACGUUGCUGUCAAUUGAAGCACGUUUUCUGUGCAUCCACAAAUUGAAUCCCUUUUCCAUCUUAAGCACUUAGCACACACCCUGGCCAAAACUUUUCCGGGUUGAGGUGCUACAACAAAACUAGCACAAACUUCUUUUUCCUUCCUCACAACUUCAUAGGUAGAAGAUUCAUUCUUACUGUAGAUCUUAGCAACCUCAGCACAGAAUUUUCGUUUCUUAUUAAGUCAAGAACUCUCACCUUUUCACUUAAAGGGAGCAUUUUACAGCUUCUCUUUGGCAUCUCCAAAUUGCCAGCAUCACUACUCUUCAGCUUUGGGUCCAUUAUGAAGUAAAAUAAGAGUAACUUGAACACAAGCAGUGUGAUGGCUUGUCAGUUGAUCUGAUCACCCAGAUGGCUAUUAAGGGACUCAUGGGCAGGAGCAUGUGUGAUGUGGGACACUGGACGAAGCAAUGAGUCACAUCCUGGGUAGGACGCAGCAGAGCAGAGCGAGAUUUCAUUAUGCUACUCGGUACAAUCACAACUUAAUGUUUAUGAAUUGUUUGUUUCUGGAUUAUUCCAUUUAAUAUUUUUGAGCCAUGGUUGACAGAUGGUAACAGAAACCAUGGCAAGUGAAACCAUGGACAAGGGGGGACCACUAUACUCCAGAGCCCCAAUAUGUAAACUAUAUAAAACAGGACUGCUGAGAGAGAGUUGGAACAAAGGAGCCUCCUGAGUCAUACAUUUGUGAUGACCUCCUGUCCCUAAGGCAGCCUAGGAGGAAGCCUCCUGGACCCUCGAUCCCUGGGGAACAUAGGAUGAAAGUCGCUGCACUGGUUCCUGAAGAUAUGUAUUUCAAUCAUUGAAUACUUCUGAGAACUGGAAUAUUGAGUGAGUCGCGUCACUGCCUGAAUAAGAGUGAGCGUGUUUCUUUCUCUUCUGGAGUUGCAGUAGUGAGUUGCCACAUGGUCAGUAUUGAAGAAUACCUAAAUAAUUAGGUAUUCUGCAAAAGGAGGGGAUGAUGAAGACCAUGGUUACCGCCGCCUUUCUUUCUUACUUGGGUUUGCCUGAAGGGUCAUGGACAUGUCACCUUAACUGAAGUGUUGGUCAUUUUCUCUCCCUUAUUUUGGGUUUUCUGUUACUCCGUGAUUUCUUUGCCUGGUUCUUGUUUCAGCUGUUUGGGUUUUUUCAUCCUCCUGCGACCACCCAGCGCCAUUCCUUUCUCAAUCACAAGAAGAAGGGUGAGUACAGCACAAGAAGAUGUUUAGAGAGGGAAGCCAUAUUCAUUUUGUAAACAAAUUCUCACCUUCAAGGUGUGAACACUUCUGGGAAGAGAAAAGCCAAGUCCAAUGCUCUUGGCAGCCUGAACUCAUCUUCAGGGCUUCACUGCCACUUAAUGGGUGGCAGAUGAGUGUCUCUGUUUUUCAUGCUUCACAUUAGCCUUUCCCUAUCAUUUGAGUCUAGAACCUGCUGGACUGGGGAGGGAUGGAAUCUUCUCCUUGCUGGGCUCCAUUUAUGAGCACCCUGACAUUCAGAGUCCUGAUGUCCUGUUACUGACUCUCCUAUGAGAGAGAGAAAGAGACAGUGUAUAGAAACAAUGCUUUCCUUUCAAGUGGAAACACAAGUUUAAAAGAAAUACCCCAGAUGCUUCUGCCUAGUGCACGGAUGCUUUGCUGUCCUGAUAUUUUCUAAAUGACUCUUGAACAGAUCCAAAGUAAUAGACAGGCACAUCUUUCCUUAUAAAUCAUGACACCAUUUUUCUGUAGAGCAGGAGAGAAAGGCAGAACACUCUCCACCACUCUUGGGAUGACACUCAAUGAGGCUUCACAGAGUAAAGCCAUAUGGGGCAACAUGAUUUUGUCAGCUGUGACUUUGCAGGCAGAGCCAGAGAUUAUUUUUAUUGGAAGGCAAUACAUUCCAAAUACUAUCAAUACAGCCUUCUCUCAGCCUCUUUUCAUGCUUUCAUUAUUAUUGCACAGCAGCCUCAACAAUUGCAUUUGUCAACGUGGUGGGGAGAACUAUGCAACCUGUUGGAGGACUCAGCAAAUUGGGGUUCGUCUUGUGAAUACUGAUGUCUUCAAAAGCUCUCUCCUGGCAGCUUUGGAAGAGCUUGCCAUUCAGAAUGACAUUUCAUUCUGUUUACUGUGAUUAUUUUUUUUGCCGUAGAGUUUUAAAAGCAUAAUUGCUUUUGUAGUCUGAGGAGGAAAGGGGCACAAAGCUACAUUUAGAGAUGUAUAUAAUUGUUAAGCAGGUUUGAGAGGUUAAGAAUAGUGAGAUUUUUUUAAAAGGCAUAGUACAUCAUAGAUUUGUGAAUUUGUUUAUUACAAACCUUUGGGCUUACACCAAUGUAGCUAAUAAAACCUGAAUGUAAAGUGGUUUCAAAGAUAAUGGAAAGAGAGCAAGGAAACCAGGGUGUUGUUCAAUUGGUUGCAGGAGACAUUGGAGAGCCUGGAUCUGACUAUUUGGGCAUAUGUGACAAAUUCAUAGGGACAAGUGGAAUAAUAUAAUAGAGUUGAUGGUUCAUGUAUGUUAAAUAGUAAUAGGCAUAGAGAGCUGUUACGGUGUCUAAUAAACUAAUAGAAUAUACAAACAUACAUUAAAAUAAAAAUGUUAUAUGCAGGGUGCAAAAAAUGUGUUUAAUACAAGCCAGGGCUUAUUUCAGAUGAUUUUGCUUAUAGUGAUGAAAAGAUGUGGAAACAAUAGCAGGAUCUAUUCAUUUGUUUCCUCAUUUGGUAAUUUAUUCUAAAAUGUUUAUUUUUCUUCGAGUGUAUGCAAGACAGUGUUUUAGACACCCAGGGAAUAACUGAGCAAGAAGCCUUGUUUUAUGGAGGUUAUAAUCUACUGAAGGAGGCAAACAAUAAGCAAGCUGAUAAAUGUCAUUAUAUAAUUACAUUUUAGAUAGCAAUAUUUUCCAUGAAAAUAAGGAGAAAUUAGAGAGUGAGCAGGUGACAAUAUUUGAUAUGAGUAUGAGAAAAUGACAAUAUGUGAGAGGAAAAUUAGAGGAACAAGACCUCUGAGUGAGUUCAGGAAAAUUAGAUCCAAGGAAUAAGAAGAGGUUUGGCUCUCUACAGGGGCACAUAGAGGUCAUUCAUUACAAUGGAACGGGAACUUUUGGAGGGUUUCAGCUGAGAUCAGCCACUGUGUGUGCCUAUUGGAUAUUGUAAAUGUAUCCAUGCUGUGAAAAAUGAUUCUGAGAGGCAGAUAACGUAGUAUUUAAACUUACACAGAUUCUGGAGCCAGAAUGCUUGGGUUCAGGAGGCUCAGGUUGCCUAUCUAUAAAAUGAAGAUAAUAAUACCUAUCUCGUGAAAUUAUUUUAAGGAUUAAAUGAUGAAUAGUUAUAAAGCACUAGAACAUUGUCUAGCACAUACCAAGCGCCUAAUACAUGUUGCAUAAUUUUAAUGAAAGCGUUAUUGAUAUUACCAAGAAGUUUUGGAGCUGACCCAGUGAGAUGACUUUUGUGCAGACACAAAAUUGUCCAUUCUUAACACACAAAUAUCAAGUUAGAGCCCAUAAAGAAUUAAAAUCCAUAUUGCAUCUUCCACAAUUACUCUAGAGUUUUGUAGGGAAAUAGUUUGAAAAACAUCAACUCUUCUUUUGCCAAUAUUUAGGAGUUAUGAGGGGGACUUUGGACCGCAGAAUGGAGAGCAAUUCUCAGGCUGCAUUGACAUGUUACAAAUCAAAGUUACCCAAGACUAACAAUUUGUCAACUUCUUUUCUAUGAAUUUUGAGUGGUAAUUUUUUUUUUUUCACAUCAUGGGGCUUUUCUCUUGCAGAAUCUGUUUCAUCCUUGAAUCUGUGAUCAGAGAAAACAUAGUUCAUAGCAGUUGUUAUUUUGUUUCUUCAUUUCCUUAUGUGGGCUUCCAUGCUAUGUAAGACUUGUGUUAUGCAUUUCUCUUGUUAAAUUAUCUUAUGUUAAUUGAAUUCUUAGACUCAGCUAAGACCCUAAAGGCUGGGAUACACACUCACUUUGGAGCCCGCAGGUGGCAUCCUGAGAGAUAUGACAAACCCAGCAGAAAGUAGAAAUCCUUAUCAAGAAUCACACCUCCUAAACAGAAUAAUGCUGAUCCAGCCCUUCAAAGGAACACUUCCCACAUCUAUAAAAUGGACAGAAUUGAAUUUAACAAUGAACUCCAGGAAGACUCACCCUGAGAGCCACUCUCUCCAAACCCUCUUGUUGCUCCAAUGUGUCUAAGAGGGUUUUGCCGCUGACUCCUAGUUGCCAAUCUCUUCCCCGUGGUGUGCAACAAGACCAAUCACGACAGGUCCAUCCCAGCAUUAAGAGACAAUCAACAUCUAACUACAGAAUUAGCAAUGCUUUUAGAGAAAGACCUUGAUCAAAAGGGACAAAUGCAACAGUCGUCAGAUUUAAAACGAAGUCACUUAUGCCAAACUCUAACAAAAUGGAGUUGGGAGGCUAGAAUGGAGGGCUGUCUCACUCACAUACCUAUGAUAAAAAUCACUACAAAGACUCUUCAAAACCGCGACCACGUAUGAAGGCCAUGAUAAGCUUUCACAAGGAAUACUUCUGCGAGGACAUCUGCCCAGCAACUGCCUUUUCAAGCUUGGACUGACGCCAGUCUUGUCAUGGAUUCUUGUAGCCAAGGAUAAUGACCUCAAAACAACUUAUGUAACCCUCCACAUUUUGUCUUUAAAAACCCUUGCCUUCCUGUGCCUCCCUAGGUAUGCCUAUGGCUUUCCAUGGGAUGCCAUGUCAUGGGUCUUUCCAGAUGGUAAUCCACAAUGUAUUCAUUUAUUUGUUUUUUUUUGUUUUUUUAUAAUUAAAAAUUUUUGUAUAUACUUUUUUAUUUUGAAAUACUGUCAAACCUACAGAAAAAAUUGUAAGAAAAGUACAAAGAAUGUUUGCAUGCCCUUCACACAGGUUCUUCAAUUGUUAAAUUUUACUGCAUUUCCCCUAUUUCUCUUUUUUUACUUUCUUUAGAGAGGUAUGUGUUGACCCAUCACCUUUAAAUACUGCAGGGUAUAACUCCUUUUCACCUAAAACAAGGGUACAUUCUUAUGUUACUACCAUAUACUCCUCUGUUCAGAAAAUAAACACUGAUACAAUACAACCAUUUAGUUCUCAGAAACCAUACACAUUUUGCCAUCUGUCUUAAUAGUAGCUCCUUUUCCUUUCUAGUCUAGAAUCCUAUCGCAAGCACACAUUACUUUUAUUUAACAUGUCUCACCACUUUCUUUCCUUCUAGAAAGUUCUUUGUGUUUUCCUGACUCUUAUACGCUUGACAGUCCAAAAAAUACAGUACUUUUAUCCCAUAAGACGACCCUAAACUUGGUCUAUCCAUUGUUUCCUCAUGACCAGACCUAAGCCAUGUGUCCAUGGCAAGAAUACUAGAGAAUUAUUCUGUGUUCUUCAUGCAUCACAUUUAUAGUCACACCAUGUCGAACUAUCCCAAGGUGAUUAAACUCAUUUAUUUCGCAA